AAUGGGCGCAAGCCUGAUCCAGCCAUGCCGCGUGAGUGAAGAAGGCCUUCGGGUUGUAAAGCUCUUUCGGUUGGGAAGAAAUUGCUUGGGUUAAUACCCCAAGUAGAUGACGGUACCAGCAUAAGAAGCACCGGCUAACUACGUGCCAGCAGCCGCGGUAAUACGUAGGGUGCGAGCGUUAAUCGGAAUUACUGGGCGUAAAGCGUGCGCAGGCGGUUGUAUAAGUCAGAUGUGAAAUCCCCGGGCUCAACCUGGGAACUGCAUUUGAGACUGUACGGCUAGAGUGUGGCAGAGGGGGGUGGAAUUCCACGUGUAGCAGUGAAAUGCGUAGAGAUGUGUAGGAACACCGAUGGCGAAGGCAGCCCCCUGGGCCAAUACUGACGCUCAUGCACGAAAGCGUGGGGAGCAAA
rnacentral:rRNA from 1 species